rnacentral:rRNA from 1 species
AUGUUGCCAUGCCAUGCCUCAUUAAAUUGGACAUGCAUCAUACUUGGUUGUGCAUCAUGCCAUGUUCAUGUCGUGGUUGUUUACUGUGUUGUUUGGUUCUUUCCGGUGUUGCUUCUUCGGGUUGGUUCCGAUAACGUCGUGUUUGUGAGGAACCGUUCGUCUACGUCCAUUCGUCUUCUUCAUGGGCUCGUUCUUCUUCCUUGCGGGAUUUCAGCUUGCAGGUGCCGAUGGGUCCAUGCAGAUGACGCAACCAAGCUCAAGGAGGAGCUCGAUGAAGAUCUUGUUCUUUAUGUUGUUUCGUUCUAG